AUUGUUUCUCAGCCUUUUGGCUAAGAUCCAGUGUGGUAUCUGUCCUUAUCAGUUUAAUAUCUGAUACAUCCUCUAUCUGAGGACAAUAUUUAAAAAAAAAUAUGAAAGAAAAAAAUAUAU
rnacentral:snRNA from 1 species